GUUCCAGACUCCUACGGGAGGCAGCAGUAGGGCCUCUUUCACAAUGGGCGCAAGCCUGCUGGCGCAACGCCGCGUGCCGGAUGAAGGCCUUCGGGUUGUACCCUGCUUUUAUAAGCGCGCCAUAUGAUGGUCCCUUAUGAAUCCGGCUCGGCUAACUACGUGCCAGCAGCCGCGGUCAUACGUAGGCUCCGAGCAUUAUCCGGCGUGACUGGGGGGACCGAGUUGCGGAGGUGGCAUAAGAAGGAGCUAGUGAAAUGGGGUGGCUCAACCAGGCAGACUAUUAGCUAAACUGUUAAGCUCGAGACCGGGAGGGGUAACGGGAAUUUCUAGGGGAGGAGUGAAAUCCGGAGAUAUUAGAAGGAACACCAAUAGAGGAGGAAGGUUGCGGGGACGGUUCUGACACGAAGGCACGAAAGCGGAGGGAGCAAACGGGAUUAGAUACCCGAGUAA
rnacentral:rRNA from 1 species